UAGGGAAUCUUCCGCAAUGGACGAAAGUCUGACGGAGCAACGCCGCGUGAGUGAAGAAGGAUUUCGGUUCGUAAAACUCUGUUGUUAGGGCAGAAAAAAUGUAUAGUAACUAUAUACAAAAGAGACGGUACCUAACCAGAAAGCCACGGCUAACUACGUGCCAGCAGCCGCGGUAAUACGUAGGUGGCAAGCGUUGUCCGGAAUUAUUGGGCGUAAAGCGCGCGCAGGUGGUUUAGAAAGUCUGAUGUGAAAGCCCACGGCUCAACCGUGGAGGGUCAUUGGAAACUAAUAAACUUGAGUGCAGGAGAGAAAAGUGGAAUUCCUAGUGUAGCGGUGAAAUGCGUAGAGAUUAGGAGGAACACCGGUGGCGAAAGCGGCUUUUUGGCCUGCAACUGACACUGAGGCGCGAAAGCGUGGGGAGCAAACAGG
rnacentral:rRNA from 1 species